rnacentral:lncRNA from 10 species
UGGACAUGUAAUAAUCUUUUAUUCUGUUUUAUGUGAAAGUUAAAAGCUAAAGAAUGCCAUUUGCAGACCUUCAGCAACUUCUAGCUUGGCUUUAGAAAUUCAUUGCAGAAGAUGGAGAACUUUGAUAUAGGGCCAGGACAAUGACAUUCAGCACCCAGAUCUUAAUUUCUGAAUUGAUUCUCCAACUCAGCCCCUGUUCUGUUUGCAGAGAUGACAGAAGAGACAUCCAGGAGUAGAUUUCAAUGCACAGCAGCAGCUGAGAGAAGCCAGCUGUGAAAAAGCAUUUACUGUGCACUGAGUCAGUGCUGAGGGCUCCAGAGUGAAGGACGCACAGCCCGGCCCUCAGAAGAUCAGCUCACAGUGGGUGAGGGGGAAAGACCAGCAGGCAAUGAAGACGCAACGUGGCCCACCUCCUCCCCGAGGACAGACAGACCCAAAUAUUGUGGAUCCUACUGAGGUCCCUGAGCUUCUCCUCCAGAUUCAGUCCUGAUGGUUGGUCAUCUUCCACGGCUGCUUGCUUCCAGGCCUCUGUACCUGCCUUCCUUCUUCGCUUGCCCUCCCCAUCUUUUUCUUGCAUCCCUCACUGCACUGGGCUCUAGUGACUUUCAGGUCUUUAUUUCCAUGCCAUCUCCUUGAGAAAGACUUCCCUGCCUCCCUGGUCAGCUGUCUAUUUUCUGUGUUCCUUCAGACCCCUGGUUUUCCUGUCACCUAUCUGGCCAUGUUGCAUCUUCAUUGCCUGCUUGUCUCUCCCCCUCACCUACCAUGAACUGGUCUUCUGAGGGCAGGGGCUGUGCAUCCUUCACUCUGGAGCCCUCAGCACUGACUCGGUGCACAGUAAGUGGCUGCCAAGUGGAUGGAAGACUGUUAGCCUCUUCAGGUCCAAGGAAGAAGGGUGUAUUUGGCUGGGGGCUUUCUUUGGGUAGACACCAGGAAAGCUUUCUGCUUUCAUAUUUGGCUUUAUAGAAGAACCCAGGAGGCUAAGCUGCCCAAAGACAGUCUUGCAGCAGGAACUCCCUCUUGAUUUUUCAGGGUAAGCUCCGGGCAGUGGCAGGGAUGGAAAUGUGGUCAGGGCUAGAAGAGUUUUGAUGAGCAUGAUAGAGAAAUCAUAAAUGACCUCAGAAAAUACUGAAGUCGUCCUGAAUAGGCUGUUAGAAAUACCAACAUGAGGGGAGCUGUUUAGAACAAAGGCUCAGAAUAAAGUGAGGAAUGUGGCAUUGAGAAGUAGAAGAGGAGACCAGAAGGGGAGGUCAGAGAGACUUGAGGUCAAACGGCUGCAGAAUGCCCGUACCGGCUUGAAGAUGCAGGGCCAUGCAGAGAAGGCACUGAUGCUGCCAGCAUUCUGUUAGGGUGUGGAAGGGGUCCUCUCCAGAGUGCCCAGGUGACAGCCCCACCCAGCCAACACUUUGGUUUCCAUAUGUAAGAGCUGGAGCUGAGGACCAACAAAGCUACUCUGUGCCUGGACUGCAGACUCGUGAAAUGUUGAGAUGAUAGAUGGGUACUGUUUUAAGCUGUUAAUAUUGUGGUAAUUUGUUAUGGCAGCAACAGAAAACUCACGCAGGUUUUCCUGAAGUUAAACAGGUGAGCCCUGGGGUCUCCCGGAGGGAGGGAGUUCAUUUCCUGGCUAUGCCUCCCAUUACCUGCCACCACCAUCCAGGGCUUCAUUCCUCCUUUGUGAAAUGUGACAGUGAGAGCCACACAGCACUAUGAGGAUGUAAGGACGUGUCACACGUAAAGCCAGGGAAUGGUCCAUUGUACAAACAAAGCCCACGAUAUAUGUAAGCUGCCAUGCAACUAAGUUAAUGCAAAUCCCUGUUUUCUUUGUUCCCUUGGAAGAUAAACCAUAGAGAGUCUAACCAGGCUGCUGCUUAAAUAAAACCAUGUGGCCCUGAGCAAAAGCCAGAGGUUGCACUUGCUCUGGAAAAGCCUGUUGUGGCUCCUGCGUCUACCCUGUCCUCUAACAGAAGCUGCCUUAACUCAAGGUGGUCGGGUUGCCUGGCCAAAGCUGGUUGAGUUAGUGCUGGACACUUGACCCAUGCUGAGCUUUCUGAUUCUCUGUCCUGGGGACCCAGAGAGGGGACAGCGAGAACCUUCUUCCUUAGCCGUGGGCAGUGGAACAGCCACAGUGGGGCAUGGGGCCAGAGUCAAAGCCAAGGAGUCAGCUGGUCAAAGGAUGAGCUUGCAGCACAGCAGAAAUUAGAAGCCACACAGAGGGUGAGUCUUGCUUUGCAGAGAAGGCCAUGCUAAUGUUGACAUGCCAUCAUAUUAUCGCGGGAGCCAUGUGGACUGUGUGCUUCAUCUGUGUAAUGCAGUAUUCUGGGGCUUCAUGUGUGACAUCUCUUUACAUCCUCACAACACCAUGUGGUAUUCUUUGUAGAGACGGGGUUUUGCCAUGUUGCCCAGGCUAGUGAUCACUAUUUUCUUCUAGUUAUUUCUUUGUAUCUGCCACCUAAGCACUGAUGUGGGGUAAGAUGUGAUCCUCAGGUCUCUUGUUUACCUCUUUCCUCUAGAUGGUGAGCAACACUUGUUCUGUGCAGCCAGCAUCCCUUUCCUGCAUCUUUGAUUACAACAUACACCUCCACCUUCUCACUGUCUCAUUUCACAAAGGAGGAAAGAAACCCUGGGAGGCAGGUGGCAGGUAAUGGGAGGCAGAGGCAGGAGCUGAACUUCCUCUGGGAGACCCCAGGGCUCACCUGCUUAACUUCAUGAAACCCAGGAGCCCAGAGAAACAGACAUCAGCCACCCAAGAACUGUUCCCACAAGAUCUGUUCCCAUAGACCCAGACUAUACUUCCCAUGCUGGUAUGCCUGAUGAGUGCCUGCAUCUUUAAAAAUCUUCUUAAAGAUUAUUAAAUUCCUCUUCAAAAGUUACAAAAGCAACAUGGUUGUUGACAGUAUAGGAAUAUAAGGAAAACUUGAAUAAUGUCCCCAGCCCCAUACUGAUCACUCCUGACCCUGGGAGCCACGUCUUUGUUCACAGCCCGAGGUGUUUCCUUCCGCACAUUCUUGUGCUCAUGUGUCUUUUGUUCUUUGAUUUAUUUGUUUCUACAAAAUGUAUUCCAUUCACCUACAACUCCUCUUGUCCUUCACCUCCAUUUUCUCCUUAACAUUUCUUUGUGAACAUCCCUAAAUCAACAGGUAACAGAUAGAGGCAGAUAAAGCAUGGUCUUUCGUAAUAAAAGGAAACCACAAUUUUUCACUCAUAACUUUAUAAAAGAAUAGCACUUGAGUCCAGCAUUUUUGUUUUGCCACCACAAUAACGUAAAAACAAACAACUUCUUGCCCAUAU